AUACGAAUGAUAACGCGGCUUCGUAUAAUGUCGGGAAUAUGGCCCGAAAGUCUCUACCCGGAAACCGUAAAUUUCUGGACUACGAGGAAGCGGAUGUGGGUA
rnacentral:ncRNA from 2 species